AUUGAACGCUAGCGGGAUGCUUUACACAUGCAAGUCGAACGAGUGGCGGACGGGUGAGUACUAUAUCGGAACGUGCCCAGUAGUGGGGGAUAACUACUCGCAAGAGUGGCUAAUACCGCAUACUAUUUGAGCGCCCGAUAUGGGAUUAGAUAGUUUGUGGGGUAAAGGCUCACAAAGGCAACGCUCCGUAGCUGGUUUGAGAGGACGACCAUCCACACUGUGACUGAGACACGGCCCAGACUCCUACGGGAGGCAGCAGGGGGGAAUUUUGGACAAUGGGGGAAACCCUGAUCCAGCCAUCCCGCGUGUAUGAGAAGGCCUUCGGGUUGGAAAGUACUUUUGGCAGAGAAGCGGUAUCUGCAGAAUAAGCACCGGCUAACUACGUGCCAGCAGCCGCGGUAAUUC
rnacentral:rRNA from 1 species